rnacentral:rRNA from 1 species
AGUGAACGCUGGCGGUAGGCCUAACACAUGCAAGUCGAACGGCAGCACAGUAAGAGCUUGCUCUUACGGGUGGCGAGUGGCGGACGGGUGAGGAAUACAUCGGAAUCUACUUUUUCGUGGGGGAUAACGUAGGGAAACUUACGCCAAUACCGCAUACGACCUACGGGUGAAAGCAGGGGAUCUUCGGACCUUGCGCGAUUGAAUGAGCCGAUGUCGGAUUAGCUAGUUGGCGGGGUAAAGGCCCACCAAGGCGACGAUCCGUAGCUGGUCUGAGAGGAUGAUCAGCCACACUGGAACUGAGACACGGUCCAGACUCCUACGGGAGGCAGCAGUGGGGAAUAUUGGACAAUGGGCGCAAGCCUGAUCCAGCCAUACCGCGUGGGUGAAGAAGGCCUUCGGGUUGUAAAGCCCUUUUGUUGGGAAGGAAAAGCAGCAGGUUAAUACCCCGCUGUUCUGACGGUACCCAAAGAAUAAGCACCGGCUAACUUCGUG